rnacentral:rRNA from 1 species
CAGCAGCCGCGGGAAUACGAAGGGGGCUAGCGUUGUUCGGAUUUACUGGGCGUAAAGCGCACGUAGGCGGACUUUUAAGUCAGGGGCGAAAUCCCGGGGCUCAACCCCGGAACUGCCUUUGAUACUGGGAGUCUUGAGUUCGAGAGAGGUGAGUGGAAUUGCGAGUGUAGAGGUGAAAUUCGUAGAUAUUCGCAGGAACACCAGUGGCGAAGGCGGCUCACUGGCUCGAUACUGACGCUGAGGUGCGAAAGCGUGGGGAGCGAACAGGAUUAGAUACCCCAGUAGUCCCUGUCUCUUAUAC